GUAUCCGUAGCUCAGCUGGAUAGAGCGCAACCCUGCGGAGGUUGAGGCCGGAGGUUCGAAUCCUCCCGGAUACACCA
rnacentral:tRNA from 1 species